UGGGCAUCCAAGGAUCAUGCAUGUAAGGCCCACAUUUUCAAGGAGUUACACUCUUAGAUAUUACACUCUUAGGUGACACUGAGUAGAGAGGGACCAGGUAGAGUCUGGCUUGAGUCAUGGCUUGAGUGAAAGAGCACUGGGGCCAUGUGAGGGUAGAGUAUGUGGUAAUGGGUGCUGGUAGCAAAGAGGUACAACCAGAUGGAGUAGAGAUGAGCUGAGGGGGCAUUUUAGUGGGAUGUGGAGAAAGUGGAUAAGAAGUAUUCAUUUUAAGGAUACAAUUUAGAUUGAUUUGUAGGAAGUCUAGGCUGUCAGAGCCUACACUUAGAAUACAGUUCAGUCAAGAUUUAUUGAAUGUUUAUUU
rnacentral:lncRNA from 1 species